rnacentral:rRNA from 1 species
UGGGGAAUUUUGCACAAUGGGGGAAACCCUGAUGCAGCGACGCCGCGUGAUUUAGAAGGCCUUCGGGUUGUAAAAAUCUUUUCUAUGGGAAGAAAAUGACAGUACCAUAGGAAUAAGGACCGGCUAAUUACGUGCCAGCAGCCGCGGUAAUACGUAAGGUCCGAGCGUUGUCCGGAAUCAUUGGGCGUAAAGGGUACGUAGGCGGGUAAGCAAGUUAGAAGUGAAAUCCUAUAGCUCAACUAUAGUAAGCUUUUAAAACUGCUCAUCUUGAGGUAUGGAAGGGAAAGUGGAAUUCCUAGUGUAGCGGUGAAAUGCGCAGAUAUUAGGAGGAAUACCGGUGGUGAAGGCGACUUUCUGGCCAUAACCUGACGCUGAGGUACGAAAGCGUGGGUAGCAAACAGG